CACACACACACGCUGAGAGAGCUCAAACUACAGCGAGCAGCGCAGCACCAUCACACACACACGCUGAGAGAGCUGAAGAUGUAUCCGCCGUCCCUGAGGCCGGCACCGUUUCUGGUCAGCGUGAUCCUCUGGAGCUGAUCUGGGAUCGGGAGAUUCCCUGGAUCCGCAUCGGACUCAUCACUGGAGUUCUGCUCGUCACUGCCGGCGUUCUGGGAUUAUUACUGGCGUUUGGAAGAAUCUGAGUCAUCAUGAAGGGAUUAACGUUCAAGGCAUU